GGAUACAUGGAGACCUCAGACCUCUAGGAGCAUUUAACCUACAGUUAAAGGAGCUCUGAAAAUUUCUGCAGUUACUUCCUCCACUGAAGUCUGGAACCCCUCAAAGUCAUCCAUGAGGGUUGGAAUGAACUUCUGCCAAACUGCUGUUAAUGUUGCUAUUUUGACCUCUUAUCAUGAAUCAUGAAUGUUCUUAAUGGCAUCUAGAAUGAUGAAUCCUUUCCAGAAGACUCAGAAACAAAAAAGGAUUACCAAAGAAUCUAACAAGUUAACAAUAAUGUGUGGACUUGAGGCGCUCUCUUCUUUAAGGUCACUGCUAAACCAGAUGUGUGCUAUCACCAGAGACUUUAUUCUGUUCUAUAAUCCUAUUGGAAAACUUUUGGAUCUGUUCCUUAUCACAUUCUGGAAGGAAUUCCAGGAAACAUCUUUGAAACAGGGGAAAAAUGACAAAAGCAGAUAAAGAAUCUCAUGAGAGCAUUUUAGCGAAAAAAUAAAGAGAAAAUCCCACAUAUUUUGAGUAGUCUAAAAUAUCUUGAUUUUAGUUUGGGAUUUUUACUACGAUUGAGCAAUAGUACUAAUAAAACCAAUCUGCUGUACUUCGUUUGAUCCUUGCAAGAGAGAGGAGGUUAUUCGCCUAAUUUACAGACGUAUUAACUGAUGCUCACAGAAUGUGUUUCACUCAAAGCAGGUGAGGUUAAGUAUUCUGACUUUCUAAGCUAUUUCCACGUCACUAAUCUGCUUUAUAUAUAGUAAAACUAAAUUAUCUUUUUUAACACGAAGUAGAAUAUUAUGAAUUAAAUUAUGAGGCAAGACAAUAACCAAACCACAAAUCAGCACUAAAUGUUUGUGUCUUAGGUUGAUUGAAUUAUGUGAUCCUAAAAAUGCUCAGUUUAAUAUAAUGUGCCACCUAAUAAAACUUUUUAAAUUGAGGCUAAUGCAAAGAGAAAGCUUUAUUAAA
rnacentral:lncRNA from 1 species